GGGUGUGAGCACUUGUCGUGAGAACAGCUCUCAGGAGCUGCUUCAAGUCUUUCGUCACAUGGGUCCCAGGAUCAACUCGGGUCACCAAGUUUGGCAUCAAGCACCUUUACCUCCUGAGCCUUCUCACUGGCCCCAAAUCAAUAUCAGUUGGCUUUAUUUUCUGUUCCAGAGUUGGUCAACAUUCCAUUCCACAAAACAGAGCUAGUGUUCCAGGGAUGUGAGCAAAGGGAGUUGCUACAGAGAGAAGGGCUUUGUGAAAAAGAAAAGGCUAGGCGUUCCUAGGACUAAGGAAGCUGAGGCUGGAGGAUCACCGAUUCAAGGUCAGGGUCGGUUCAGGCUUAUUCAGACCCUGUCUCAAGAAGCAGAAACAAAAACAAGUCACACAGUAGCCAUUUAAAACUCUGUGUUUGUACAGCGGCCACAUAGAGACAGAACGAUAUAGGAAAACACCUGAUCCGCUAACGUUAGGGAGCAACUCCCCACCCCCUGCAGGGUGCCCAGCUGGCCUUGAACUCCCUAUGAAGCCCAAGUUGGCCCUGAGGUCACAAUCCUCCAGCCUCUGCCUCUAGGACUGGGAUUCUAGGCAAGUACUACCACACCCAGCAGAGAUGGACUUUCUAACAAGGACGGCCACGGUGUGUCUGGUGCCACUGUCUGGGGCAGCAGAGGACCCACAUUUUUGAUACACAAAAGCAAAAUGGCCCACUCUCUAGUAUCAGCCCAGCCCCGUCCGUUUGGAGAGCGAAGCAAAGGGAGAAGGAGAGAAACGGUGACAGACUCGGGAACAGAAGUUGGCAGCGGGAAUGUAGCCAUCACCCUGGCACACGAAGGCAGCCAUCUAGAGCCCAGAGUUGUUUUGACUCAUCUCAGGAACCAAGCCCGUGUUUCUCCAAGGGGGAGAGACUCAGGCCCGGAAGAGCUCUGCUGUGUGGGUGCACCAUUGCACCUCUCCCGUGUGCAAGGCCCACGAGCAGCGGUGAGCAAAGUGCAGUCAACUUCUUACGGAGCUCAUACUCCCUGGAGUUCAGAAAACCACUGCAGAAAUGGGGCAGACAUGAUGCUGGUACCAAACUCUGGUGUGGUGUAAUCAAGAGGUCCUGAAACCUGAAGCCAACCUGACUCCUGCGGAAUCACUUCAGCUUGUAGAACCAUUGGGAUGUGCUGGAACCUCCAGAGACAUGGCCUCACAGAAAGAAAUCAGGUGCAGAGGGGGUGUCCUGGGCAGUACCUGAGACCCCGCCUUGUCCUGUGCUGUUUUCCAGCUGCAGGAGGUGAGCAGCUUUACUCUACCCCAUUCCCCACGGUUGUGAGGGGCUGCAUCACAGACCCAAGUGCAGUGGAUGUGGGACCACGGGCUGAAACUCCCAAAACGGUGGGCUCAAACAAGCCUGUCCUCCGAUUAUCCUGGACACUUCCAUGGUAAUGGAAAAGCUGGCUAACUCUUCAGCCCAAAGCCUGGCUCUUAAUACUCACAGAGUGACGGGGUUCAACAUACAAACUUUUCACAAGCAGAUCACGGUGUCCCAGGCAAUCACAAAGACCAGGAAGCACACACCACCUGACUUACUUAUUUUUGCCAGAUCUAUGGCUGCUCUGAUUUUAUUACAUCCAUGGGGGGGCGGGGGCGCGCAAGCCAUGGUACGUGUGGAACUUUCAGGAGUACAUUCUCUCCUCCUAUUAUAUGGGAC